AUGUCACCAAAGUGGACAUGUAGGUCAACUGAGGGAUAGCGCCACAGACAGCCACCCAAAAGGACCGUUUUCUCAAAGCACUGUGCCCAGGAACUGACACCUCACCUCUGGAAAGCAUCGUUCCCACUGCUGCUGGGAAAAUGACCCGGCCUGUUAAAGAUGCAUUUGAUGGGAAAAAGAGGCACAACUGUCCUGAAGUAUGUGCAACUUGAGACCUCCAAUUUGGCUCCUGAAGUCACAGCCUGACUCCACCAUCUGAAGUUGUACAACUCGGGAAAGCUGUUGACCUCUCUCUGCUUCAGAGGCAUGUCUGACAAGGACCUAGCUGCACUACUCCCUACAGAAGAGGAUCUACAGAUCAGCUAACAACAACCGAGAUGCGAGACAGAAACUGAUUUUCUGAGCUUCUUGGACUUCAGAGUGGCUGUCACUGAUCACACUGGGCCUUGUCGGCAGCAGGAGGCGUGUGCUUUAAAUGUCUAGCACUCUUUGGUUACUGUCCUUCCACUGGAAGCAGAGGGGAGUGUGGGGAGUCUGCCCGGCUCGGCACUACACUACAGCGGCAGAGCCUGAAGCUCAGGCUGGAGAUGAGCUGGGCUGUCAAGCUGGGCCCUGCGUUGUCACUGAUGUACUUGCUACCUCUUCCUGCAGCAUGGAGAGCCCACAGGGACCGACCGGUGUGUCCUCUCCGCACAGACAGCUAACCGCAGUGAUGGUGGGCUGACACAGGUAUGUCCUCCUCAGGUAUGUCGGGUUAAGGAGGGAAGAACUAAAUGCCCUCUCUGAGACGACAGUGGCACUCACAAGCUGUGGAAGCUCAGCUGCCAUCACUACCCUAGAGACGGUCACACUCUGAAAACAGAGCUGAGGUCUUUGAUCUUGGUUUACAUCUAUCUACAGGAGGUGAGUGUCAGUUUGAUGCUAGAUUUUGUAUUGAAUGGUCUUUUUAGAUUAACACGCAAUGUAGUAGGGCCAAGGAGAGGGCUCAGUGGGUAACAUGCUUACUGGGAGUUCAGAUCUUCAACGCACAUGACGGGCAGGUUGGUGUGGCAGCCACCCUGUAAUCCCAGAACUCGAGGAGGCAGAAACAGGCAGAGAGCACCCUGACUGGACUGAUGAGCUGGAUUCCACAGCUCAGGGCCUGAGAAAGAGACUCCUCCUCAGUAUGUAGGUGGAAAACACCAACAGCGAGCCUGACCUCCACGGGACUGUGCACAUGCAGUCUCCUGACUCAGCGGGAGGCAGGGCCAUCCUACAUGUUUUAAUGGGAGGUAGUAGCCAGCCCAUCACUGUCUCUACAGAGAUGACUCAGGUUAGAGUAUAAGUUGGUAAACAAGCUAAAAUGACUUGCUAGGAAGUUACACUGUGUGACUGUGUGUGUGUGUGUGUGGUACACAUGCAUGCCAUGUGUCUGUCUGUAUGUCUGUCUCCCGUGCAACCCUUGAAUUACCUUCAAAUCUUAUUUUAAUUGCUUUACUUGAGGCAGGACAGGGCCACCUCAGCUCGUGAGAUGGGCGUUACACUAUUCCCGAAUGUUACGAAGUGAUCUCAAAUGGACACAGGUGCUCUCACUGGUACCUGAGGUAGAAACUCUCUCGCCAGGUCCAGUGCCUUCCUGUAGGCAGCAUCCCCUUCCUGGUUCUGUUCUAACACGUGGCUGAUCAAGCCUACAGCUUUGGCUUCUUGACCAUCAAGAACUCGUGCGGAGAAGAUGAGUUCCUUGGCCAAGGACAUCCCGAUGGCACGCGGUAAUCUCUGUGUCCCUCCUGAAAGGUGGGGGAGAGAGACAACGGCAGGUUCUGCAGGUCUGGAGCCCAGGAGGCCUUUGCUGUAGGCUUCCCCUGCCUCUGCCUAACAUUCUGUCCUGCAGCAGUGAGCCAGGUGAGAGGGCUGCCUCCUGGCAUGGCGUGACUCAAUGGAGUGAUUCAACAGAGACAAGACAUGGAGGGGAGGCCACAGUCUUAACCUCUCUGAGGGGUGUCAACCCGGAGUGAACCGCAGUGGAAGAUCGUCCACAGGAACAGUGCAGACCAUGCAACACACCCUGUGCAUCCUUAGUCUUCCGAGCACCUCCCAGAAGUUUACAAUCAUCUCCAUCCUUUGCAGGCCGAGGAAAGGGAAACAGAGCAUGCUCAGGAGUCGUCUUUAAAAACAACGAAGGAGAAGGAGUGGGGAGAGAGUAGCAUAGAAGACAUUGCUGUCGGACAGCUCUUACAGAGGAUGCACAUGGUAGCUGCCCAUGACAAGGAGGACUAAAGGAUGAGGUGCACACACGUGAAGAGCGGGGGCUUUCACUCAGUGAGGGACCUGAGGGUUUAAGAAGACACAGUGGAGCACCCCUGGUAGGAGACACGUACUUUGCCUCAAACCCAGCUACACACUUCCUUCUCAUAUAUGUGGGGCGUUGCCAUCGACCAGCAAAAUAUUAUUGAAAAAGAAUAACAUGGAAAAACAUUUAAUGUUUCCAAAAUACAACCAAUGACUCAGAGAUGAAGACAUGAAAAGUUUUAUUUUUCCUAACAAAACUAGGUCACACGGUAAAAACCGCAAGAUUCUAGUACAGCAGGAUUGUUAUGAACACACAACCAGCACCCACUGAGAGCUGCCUACACACCACAGCAUAACACAAUGUCUGCAAGACUCCCAGGAGACCACACUGUCAAUAUGUUAUGAGUGAAAUUGGCAACCUGGGCUCACAGAGCUGCAGUGAUCAAACCAUGCACGCAAUACACCAAACACAUAUCACACACCACACCACACACACACACACACACACACACACAGGCUCAUGAGUGGAUGGUGGCAGACCAGCUCACCUGCCUUCCCUCACCAGCAGAGGCCAGAGCCUCACAAUUGUCUGCCUUAUUCUCCUUUGAUGGACAAAGGUUCUGUGAGUCCAAUGAAAAGAGAACAUGAAGUUGGCUGUGUCAUCUGGAGCCAGCAGUGACAGCGGCAGAAAGCUUUGAGAGAACAGCAGUGCUCAGCUCAGCCAGCAAGGGCUGCUGCAGGGAAGAAGGGGAGUCACCUGUGCCUCCGAGGUGGAUAGCCUGGUUCCCACUCACUCUGCAAUAGAUACAUCUCCCACUGUCUGUGGGUUUAGGGCCUGGCCAUUGUUACAGCAUCUCUAUGAACUCUGAGGUUGCGUGCAUGAGACCCGUCCCAAGUGGAAUUGCCCACUGCUUUGUGUUUUUUAAAGACAGGAAAAAAAAAAAAAACAGCAAAAUGAGCAAAUUUAAGCAAGUAAGAUGCUCGAGAGUCCACUGAGAAAAGCAGUGAGAAUUACUGGUCACUGGGGAAACCACUGGCACUCUGCAGCUGCUUUACAUUAAAAAAGGAUGAACACUCUCUGGGGCAUAGCCCGGCACAAUGAGGCAACUCUAACUUAUCGGAAAAAAAAUUAUUUUUGUAAACCAUAACCAACUACUGGUCAGUUUUUCAAAACUCUGAGUCAUAGCUCAAGAAAAACAGAAAAGCAAGACAAAUAAUAUAAAAACAAGAUAUACCACAAAAUGCCUCAGUCUUCAUCCAAACCAGCAAGAAGAACCAUGCACAGCAUAACUCAGUGUCAGCUUACUGUGCCUACCCUUCAGGCAGCACUGCUAAAAGGAAGCCACCACUGCUUGCUCAUGGCGCUGUACCCUCCCCCAAUCCACAGUUUCCCUUUCUAAGGUUCAGUUCCCCAAGAUGUGUGCAGUUUAGUGGAAAAACUCAGAAGUAGUUCAUGGAUUUACACUGAUGCAGCUUGGGGACAACUCCUGCUCCGUGCUGCCCUGCUUAGGACGUGACCUUCUCUUCUUCGGUGUGCUUGAGAUGGGAACACUACUGCCCCACGGCAGCUGGGGACGGUCUACACCGUUGACAGUGUUCCCUGCACCUGGUUUCUACCAUCAGUGCCUCCACAGGUAUGUACCCAGAGGGAAGGCAGUGGACAGGACUGACCUGCUGUUUCAUGCAUACGCUGGGGAUCUAAGUGCGCAGCCCCGCAGACAAGGGGCAACAGGUGCAUUAACAGUACCAUUGCUGUAUACUGGUCAAAGCUGUGAUCAUAAAAUGUCGCGGAACCCCACAGCACUGCCCACUCACAGCCUUCCUUCUUAGAGACUGCUCAUAAAUAGACAGUUGGUUGAGCGUUAGCACCCAUUUUGGGGGCAGAUUUUGCACUGUGAUAUUUCAAACGAUUUUAAAGUACAGUUGCAAGUUAACCUGUCUAAUGCUGACACACUUUCAUGCUGCCCGUGUCUCACAACCAGCUCCUCAGCGACACUGCCGAGUGUGUGAGUGAGAAGCCCGCAGACAGAGCAGCACCAUCACUGUCACAGUACCAGUCUGUCCGCAGAGUGCUAUACCCCUGGGGCAGGCGUGCACUGCCCAGGAGGACACUAAGAGGACUAUUGGGACACAGCUGACACUGCCACUGCUUCCAUGUGAGAACAUGACUAUCUGCUACCAUUGUGACACAUACAGCUGAGGGGGCAGCGAUGGAUUUACGGGGUGUGUGUGUGUGUGUGUGUGUGUGUGUGUGUGUGUGUGUGUGUGUGUGAUUAGCCCACACUGUCAGUAUUUUAAACAAAACCCUCACACUGACUGUAAACUUACAAUGUAUGUAAACUGCCGAUACCUGCAGGGAUCUUAGGUCAUAGCUAAUUCCUCUCUAUUCUCUUCAAAGUCUGUGGGGAAAAAUCUAGUUGAAAAGGCGUGUGGGGGGUGUGAAUCAGUGUGGGCAGACCGCCCUCAAGAGAAAGAAGUAAAGCCAACAGAGACAGCACAGGACACACGUUUAAGCCAGGACACAGCAAGCUGGGGUUCCAAAACCCAGCCCCUCCCUCGCCUUGUUGGGUGGUUCCCACCGUGGAGAUGAGCGCUUUGCUUUUUACCUAAGAAGAGGAAAAGCCGGAAGAAAGCAGAAAAUAUUACAGUUGCCUGGUCAAAGGAUAAAAAAAAAAAAAUCACAUGAUAUCUCAAAAGAUGCAGAACGCUUUCCACAAAGUUCACUUUCCCUUCACGAUAAAAGCUUUGAAGAAAACAGGAAAAGAAGGACAAUUCCCCUACCACAAUAAAAGCUAUGUAUAAUCAACCUAGAGCCAGUGCUACACUGAAAUGGGAACCAAGGAUGAGUCAAAGGUGACUACUGUCUCCGAUUACUCACAGGAUACUUAGUGGGCCAGAGCAAUAAGCAAGAGAAGGAAACAGGAGGGACCUGAAGGGGAAGGAAGAGUCGCAGUGUCCACAUUUGGGGUGACCCAGUCUUACACAAGACCACAGGACCACCAGGGAACUCUCUCAUCUGCUGAGCACGUUCAGUGAAAUGGCAAGAAGCAAAGCUGGCUUAAAGAAAUCAUUAGUCUUUCUGCAAAUCUGUGACAAUCAAGGUGAGAAAGCCAUCCCGUUGAUAACAGCUCUGAAAUGAAUGAAUGAAGCACACAAAUAAAAUACACAGAAACAGACUUAACCAGUAAGAUGGAAGAUUUCUGUAAGAAAAACUUUAAGAAAUGAAAGAAGACAGUGUAGGUGGAAAGACUUCCCAUGCACGCAGACCAACAAGAUCAAUGUAGUCAAAGUGGCAACACUACUGAAAGCAAUCUAGAGCCGAUUCUUCAUAGGAAAACAACCCUAAAACUCAUACAUAAGCAUAAGAGACUCAGAAUAGCCAAACCAAUCCUGAGUAGAAAAUGCAGCAGCGGAGAUAUCACCAUCACUUAUCUCAAGUUAUACAAGAGAGUCACAGUGGCAAACACAGAAUGAUAAUGGACGUGCAGACCAACAAGACUCCACCGAGGACCCAUGAAGAAGCCCACACAUCUAUAGCCAUCUGACUUUUGACAAAGGUGCCAAAAAUAUAACUGGAGGAAGAAAAGCCUCUUCCACAAAACGCUGGGGAAGAUGAA